AUUGAACGCUGGCGGCAGGCCUAACACAUGCAAGUCGAGCGAGCGGCGGACGGGUGAGUAAUGUCUGGGAAACUGCCUGAUGGAGGGGGAUAACUACUGGAAACGGUAGCUAAUACCGCAUACCAUCAGAUGUGCCCAGAUGGGAUUAGCUAGUAGGUGGGGUAACGGCUCACCUAGGCGACGAUCCCUAGCUGGUCUGAGAGGAUGACCAGCCACACUGUGACGGAGACACGGUCCAGACUCGUACGGGAGGCAUCGGUGGGGAAUAUUGCACAAUUGGCGCAAGCCUGAUGCAGUCAUGCCGCGUGUGUGAAGGAGGCCUUCGUGUUGUAGAGCACUUUCAGCGGGGAGGCGUUACCCGCAGAAGAAGCACCGGCUAACUCCGUGCCAGCAGCCGCGGUAAUAC
rnacentral:rRNA from 1 species